rnacentral:rRNA from 1 species
AGCGGCGAUUGCACGUUGAAUACACCAGUUCCCCAGGGAUCACUGAAGUUAAGCAACGUCGCACGUGAUUGGUACCCGGAUGGGCACCAUCCAUGUAUGGAUAUAUACCAAUUUUGCGUAGUGCUUCUG